rnacentral:rRNA from 1 species
CAGUCGCGCGGUAAUGCGGAGGGGGCUAGCGUUGUUCGGAAUUACUGGGCGUAAAGCGCACGUAGGCGGCUUGGUAAGUUAGAGGUGAAAGCCUGGAGCUCAACUCCAGAAUUGCCUUUAAGACUGCCGAGCUAGCAGGUGAGAGAGGUAAGUGGAAUUCCGAGUGUAGAGGUGAAAUUCGUAGAUAUUCGGAAGAACACCAGUGGCGAAGGCGGCUUACUGGCUCAUACUGGACGCUGAGGUGCGAAAGCGUGGGGAGCAAACAGGAUUAGAUACCCGCGUAGUCCCUGUCUCUUAUACA